rnacentral:rRNA from 1 species
UGGGGAAUUUUGGACAAUGGGGGCAACCCUGAUCCAGCAAUGCCGCGUGAGUGAAGAAGGCCUUCGGGUUGUAAAGCUCUUUUGUUAGGGAAGAAAAGGUCAUCGAUAAUACCGGUGGCUGAUGACGGUACCUAAAGAAUAAGCACCGGCUAACUACGUGCCAGCAGCCGCGGUAAUACGUAGGGUGCGAGCGUUAAUCGGAAUUACUGGGCGUAAAGCGUGCGCAGGCGGCCUCGCAAGUCAGAUGUGAAAUCCCCGAGCUUAACUUGGGAACUGCAUUUGAAACUACGGGGCUAGAGUGUGUCAGAGGGAGGUAGAAUUCCACGUGUAGCAGUGAAAUGCGUAGAGAUGUGGAGGAAUACCAGUGGCGAAGGCGGCCUCCUGGGAUAACACUGACGCU